rnacentral:rRNA from 1 species
UACGUAGGGGGCAAGCGUUGUCCGGAAUUAUUGGGCGUAAAGAGCGCGUAGGCGGUCCGGUAAGUCGGCUGUGAAAGUCAAGGGCUCAACCCUUGAAAGCCGGCCAAUACUGUCGGACUAGAGUCCGGAAGAGGCGAGUGGAAUUCCCGGUGUAGCGGUGAAAUGCGCAGAUAUCGGGAGGAACACCAAUGGCGAAGGCAGCUCGCUGGGACGGUACUGACGCUGAGGCGCGAAAGCGUGGGGAGCAAACAGG